rnacentral:rRNA from 1 species
GACGAACGCUGGCGGCGUGCUUAACACAUGCAAGUCGAACGGAAAGGCCUGCUUUCCCUUGUGGACUGCGGGUACUCGAGUGGCGAACGGGUGAGUAACACGUGAGUGAUCUGCCCCCAACUUGGGUAUAAGCCUGGGAAACUGGGUCUAAUUCCCGAUAGGACUGCAGGGUGGUGCCUGUGGUGGAAAACGAUUUUCUAGUGGUUGGGGAUGAGCUCGCGGCCUAUCAGCUUGUUGGUGGGGUAAUGGCCUACCAAGGCGGCGACGGGUAGCCGGCCUGAGAGGGUGGACGGCCACAUUGGGACUGAGAUACGGCCCAGACUCCUACGGGAGGCAGCAGUGGGGAAUAUUGCACAAUGGGCGGAAGCCUGAUGCAGCGACGCCGCGUGGGGGAUGACGGCCUUCGGGUUGUAAACUCCUUUCGACCGCGAGGAAGCCACCUGGUUGGAAGGGUGGUGACGGUAGUGGUAGAAGAAGCACCGGCUAACUACGUG